AAGCGGAGGAAAAGAAACUAACCAGGAUUCCCCCAGUAACGGCGAGUGAAGUGGGAAAAGCUCAACUUUGAAAUCUGGCAGCUUCGCUGUCCGAGUUGUAGUCUCGAGAAGCGUCUUCCGCGCUGAAGCAUGUACGAGUCUGUUGGAAUACAGCGCCUCAGAGGGUGAGAGCCCCGUCCAUGACAUGCCUUUCAGUGCUCUGUGAUGCGCUUUCGAUGAGUCGAGUUGUUUGGGAAUGCAGCUCUAAAUGGGUGGUAAAUUCCAUCUAAGGCUAAAUAUUGGCGGGAGACCGAUAGCAAACAAGUACCGUGAGGGAAAGAUGAAAAGCACUUUGGAAAGAGAGUUAAAAGUACGUGAAAUUGUCGAAAGGGAAACGAUUGAAGUCGGACGUGCAGGGCAACCUGCAGGCCAACAUCGGUUUCAUCAGCCGGAUAAAGGUCAGGGGAAGGUGGCAGCUUCGGCUGUGUUAUAGCCCCUGGCUGAAUACGGAUGGCGAGACCGAGGACCGCAGCGCAAGCUUAGGAUGUUGGUGGAACGGCUUUAAACGACCCGUCUUG
rnacentral:rRNA from 1 species